AGUUGCAUUUAUUUUGUGUUUUUAGCAUAUCUAAAGGAUGUGAUAUUGGUGGCAGAGGACAUGGUAGAGUCAAUACUUGUAUGGUAGAAGAACCUGCUCUUAGACCUUCACUAUUCUCAUCAGAUCCACCAUCUUGGGAAGCAUCUAUUCCUGGAUCAUAUACUUCGGGACCAUCCAGUAGGACUCUAUCGAUGCCACAUGAUCCAUCUCCAGAGGC
rnacentral:lncRNA from 1 species